rnacentral:piRNA from 1 species
CAGAGUUGAUACAAGUCUCUUGUGACCUGGU